GAUGAACGCUGGCGGCGUGCCUAACACAUGCAAGUCGAACGGAGUUACAGUGAAACCUAGUGAUCUGUAACUUAGUGGCGGACGGGUGAGUAACGCGUGGAUAACCUGCCUUGUACAGGGGGAUAACACCUGGAAACAGGUGCUAAGACCGCAUAAGCGCACAGACCCGCAUGGGACAGUGUGAAAAACUCCGGUGGUACAAGAUGGAUCCGCGUCUGAUUAGCCAGUUGGCGGGGUAACGGCCCACCAAAGCGACGAUCAGUAGCCGGCCUGAGAGGGUGAACGGCCACAUUGGGACUGAGACACGGCCCAA
rnacentral:rRNA from 1 species